GACGCCAUCAUCCGGCGCGGUGGUUAGACUCCACUGAUGUCGUGGCGCUUUAGGGGAAGAAGUUGGUGUUUCGCUGGGCCCUGGUACUGAAGACGCGGUCCGGGUCGCCCCUAGCUGUUUCCUACUCACCCAAAGCCCCGCACCCGCCUUUUCUCUCUCUCCUCUGGCAGGAUGAGGCGUGCAGGCCUGGGUGAAGGAGUACCUCCUGGCAACUAUGGGAACUAUGGCUAUGCUAAUAGUGGGUAUAGUGCCUGUGAAGAAGAAAAUGAGAGGCUCACUGAAAGUCUGAGAAGCAAAGUAACUGCUAUAAAAUCUCUUUCCAUUGAAAUAGGCCAUGAAGUUAAAACCCAGAAUAAAUUAUUAGCUGAAAUGUGGAUCCUUCAGGUUCCAGGGAUUUCACCAGUAGCAGUGAAAGCCUACUUCUGCUAAUUUUGACUGUUCCUCAGCAUUUGUCCAGAAGCUUAAAAAGAAGCAGGCUUACUUUCAGUGCCAUCUAUCACAGCUGCAGAAUUAUAUCAUGACAUGUCAAAAUAAUGACUCUGAAGCCUUCCAAAUCUUCCAAGAAAGAAGAAUCCUUAUUUUAGAUUAGUAGGAAAUGGCUUUCUACCACUCUGAAAAGUCUCUUCUUGGCCAAACAUCAAAGUCUGGAGCCAGAGAUGUAAGCAGAAAUGGGGCGGAAAGAGCUCACAUGUUGAAUCAAUCAGCCUUGAUUUGAAUCAACCUUCCAUCAAUUACAAGCUAAGUAACUUUAAAAAAGUCACUUAAUCUCUCUGGCUUUCUAUUUCCCCAUCUGGAAAGUAACACAUACCUCACAGGUUGUUAUUAGGAACAAAUAAAAAAUUUGUGUCAAGAUGCGUGGCACAUAAUAGGUUUUCUGUAAAUGUUAAUUGAAUAAGAAAAUAGCCUUGGUUCAACAUAUUUUGCCUUUAAGCCAACGACAAUGAUAGCAUUUCAUGCAUAUUGGUUUCAUUUCCUGACUACUUAGGCAAUGUUAUUGAACUUACAGUGUUGUGACAUUGUUACACAGGAGAAGCAAACGUUGUCUCUGAUGGAUGGCAGCUCACACUCUAGAGCUAACACUUUGUAUACAAUCACAGAUGAAAGGAAUGACUUGCUAAUGUCUAUAGCAAAAUUCUGGCCAAAUAUUUGAUGUCGAAUGUUAUUCUCCAGGUGGGAAGGAGCACAAUCUUAGCUUGACACCUCAAAUAAAGCCCCUUUUUAAGAAAAAAUAAAUUCUCCUUAGGGAAUUUUCUCAAGAAUGCUUCUUUUUUCAUAUCCAAUGGCUUUUUUUUUUAAGCUUGCAGUUUCUGGAAAAAGCUGUACAAUAUCAAAAAGCAUUUCAUUUAAUAAAGCAUUUAUCUGCACCUUUAAAAGUCAGAUUACUUCAUGGAAAGUUACCAUAUAAUUUUAACUUUCUUAGUUAAAUCUCAUUAGUAAUGAAUCCAUAUCAUUAAUACAAUUUCAUAUGUAUUACCUUAACCUAUAAUAUAAUAACUAUGUAAUUUAUUAUGUAGACAGAGACACUUUGGAGAGUGAAAUUGGGCUUUAUUAAUUAUUAUCCUGAAGUCAUAAUGUGAGCAUAAGUGGGGCCACAUAGGGACAGCCUUGGACAAAAAAUGUUUACUAGGCCUACUACUGACACCUAAGAGGACUGCUCACAAGGUACUGUGAAAGGAAGUAGGGCUGUUUAGAUUCAGCAGAAGCAUAUUGUGAUUAAUUUUCUUCCUGAAUUGGGAGAUUUGCAUGCCACUUUCAUUUCAGCAUUAACUGUUAUUCCAAGAAAAACUCUGUAGACUUAAAUUGUCCUCAAAUUUUAAGGCAGGAACAGAAUUCCUGUAUUGAUGGCAUGGACUUGGAUUUAUUACUUGCUAAUGCAUUAACAACAGUAAGUCAAUUUAUGACUAUUAGAUUUGAGCUUCAUUAUAUGGUACCUGUUUCACCAAAAAGGGCACAUUGCUUUUAGCAAGAUAUGUUGUUAAAAGGGGGUCUGGGCUUUUAAAUGAAGUGUGAAUGGAAACAAAGGUGCCUAUUUAUAUAUUAUAUUCUAUAGGUAUUUCUGCUUAAGUAUUAUUUACAGUAUAUACAGUAUAUAUUUUAAUCUAUUGAAUUUAUGUUAGGUGCAGUAGAAGUUGUUUUAAUACACUGCAAUAUUUUCUGUCAGGCAAUUUGCUUAAUAACAUAAUAAUAUAAAUUACAAUCUUCAGUACUUGCUAUUGUAAGUAAUUCACAGCUACUUAAAACUUUUGAUAAUAGCAAGUCCCCCUAUUCAGGGACCAGGCAAGAUAUAUUUAUUUCAUCUCUGUCUGUCUUUUCCAAGAUUUCUAUGUUCAUUCUGACAAUUUACCAUCUAGCUACAUCUUCCAGCUAGUAUAUUACUAACACUCUGAAAUAUUUAAAGAAAAAACUAAAUGGUUGAAUUAAAAUACAAAUCGAAUUAAUAAGUUUGAGUCGUUUUUGGAUUAAAACCAGAUUCUAUGUAAUAUUUAACACAUUUAUUCCCAAUUACAUUUGUGAACACAUUUUCUCUUUAUAUAAUUAAUUCAUUUUAUAAUCCAAAUAAUAUUUUUAAACUGUUUACUAUGGAGCACUAUUCCCAUUUUUGGGAUGUCAAUGUAAGAUGGGCCUUGUCUCAAAGAGUUGACUCUAAUACUUUCAUUAUUUAGAACAAGGCAACAGAGUAAGAAUUAUGACUAUAUAUUUGCAUUAUAUGUGCUCAGGGUUCAGAAAAAAAUGUGUAAAAUAUGCAAAUUCUAAAAUUAUUUUGAAGUCUAGCUACUUAAAAGGUCAAAUAAGUGUUUUCUUCUCAAGAGCUAAUGGAGAUGGAGAAAAAUCCACCAAACAAAGAGGUGCAAUUUGGCCCUGCAUUCAUUAGCUUCUCCACACACUGUCACCUACCCAGACAAGAGGAGAUACUUACCCAAUGUUCCAGGGGCUACCUGAAUGAGUACAUUUGCCAAAGAGGCAACCCUGUUUUCUGCUAGUAUUUAAUUAUUUCUUUUUCUCCCUUCUAUUAAACAAAGGUCUUGGUGAAUAUUCUUUGCAAAAUCCACUUAUUUCCCUCUUUCAUGAAUGUUAGAUUGUACAAAAUUUUAUUGCAGAGUAAAAUAUCUUUAAUGCAAAUACUCUAAUGUAACACAUUUUGUAUGAAGUAUUGUGAAUUUAGGUAUUUCAUUUACAAAGAGCCACUGACUAAAAACACUUAGCAAUUGAUACUCUCUCUGUGAAGACCAAAAAAGGCAUAUAGAAGUUCAUCAAAUUAAUAAAUAUUUGGGUAAUUAUGACUUAUCCAAGAUUGAUUUCAAAUAGUAUACAUUGUUUUCUGCAAUUCAAUUUUGAAAUUUAUAGCUAAAUUCAAUGAGACCAAGUAGGGCAUUUGAAAUAAUCAUAAACCAGGUGAGAAAAGAACAAAUUGUCAUUUCCAGAAUCUUGAAGAAUCAAGGAUAAAGAGACUAAAAAUUAAACAUAUGAAUAAUUCAAAUAGCCACAAAUAAAGAAUAUAGAAAUAUAUGCCAUGUGAGAUUGCACUGACUGUUGUAAACUGAAAUAAGCACAAAAAUACUUACAUGAAGUCAGCAUGUGCUCAGGUGAAUACCUUAUGGAUUAUAAUUUGGGUUUCUUCUGCUUUUCCAAAAAAAAAAAGCAGGUCAUAAAUGAAUCUUUCUCUCCUAGGGGAAAAGUCCAGCAUCUAGGGGAAAAGUCCAGCAUCUAUGUCUCCUUCCUGAUUAUUCAUAUCCACCAGCAUAGAGUAGGAAAAUAAAUUAAUGCAGAGAACUCCUAGUUGGGCAAUCAGUUCCAGACUCCACAGACCCCAGGACACAGACUCUAUUCAAGAAUCUGUUUGUGAUGGUUCAGAAGUUUUCAAGCUUGCUUUGGUGCUAUUCACAAUAACAAGGACAUGGAAUCAACUGGGAUGCCCUUCAACAGUGGACUGGAUAAAGAAAAUGUGGUACAUAUAUGCCAUGGAAUAUCACAUAGCCAUAAAAAAGAAUGAAAUCAUAUCCUUUGCAGCAACAUGCAUGCAGCUGGAGGUCAUAAUCCUAAUCGAAUUAAUGCAGGAACAGAAAACCAAAUACUGUAUGUUCUUACUUAUAAGGGAGCUAAACAUUGAGUGCACAUAGAUAUAAAAAUUGGAACAACAGGCACUGUAGAAGGGGGAAGGGAGGAAGGAAGGUAUGGGUUGAAAAACUAGCUAUUGGGUACUAUGCUCACUACUUGGGUGAGAAAUUCAUAUCUCAAACCUCAGCAUCAUGCAACAUAACCAUGUAAAAAAUCUGCACAUGUAACCCCUGAAUCUAAAAUAAAAGUGGAAAUUGUUUUUA